CGGAGAGGGUCGACCUCUCACCGUCCGGCCUCGGCCGCGUCUCCGCCCGGAGCCCUUUUCUGCCGGAAAUGGGGUGUGUGCCCCCACCGGCUCGUUGGAACGCCGUCCCGCCUCCCCAGCCCCCCAGGGUGAGAUCCGGAGACAGGAGCUGGGAGGGGAGGAAUCGGCAGCCCCCUCCGCCGGGACCCCAAGGCCCCGAGGUACGGUUCAUAAAAUCCACAUCCACCUGGCUCGGGGAGGCGGCCCAGGCGGCCGGAAGCCCGAGAGCCGGAACGGAGGGUCCGUCCUGACCUCGGGGAGGAGAGACCGCAAGCUCGUCGUGGGCCGGGAACGUACGCGUCCG